rnacentral:rRNA from 2 species
GGUAUGGGAUGAGCUUGCGUCCGAUUAGCUAGUUGGCGGGGCAACGGCCCACCAAGGCGACGAUCGGUAGCCGGCCUGAGAGGGUGAUCGGCCACAUUGGGACUGAGAUACGGCCCAGACUCCUACGGGAGGCAGCAGUAGGGAAUAUUGCACAAUGGGGGAAACCCUGAUGCAGCAACGCCACGUGUGGGAAGAAGCAUUUCGGUGUGUAAACCACUGUCGUGAGGGAAUAAGGCUAUUUUUCGGAGUAGUUGAAUGUACCUCGAGAGGAAGCACCGGCAAACUUCGUGCCAGCAGCCGCGGUAAUACGAGGGGUGCAAGCGUUGUUCGGAAUCACUGGGCGUAAAGGGAGCGCAGGCGGAAGCUCAAGCGGAUUGUACAAUACCGGGGCCCAACCCCGGACCUGCAGUCCGAACUGGGUUUCUUGGAUAGUUCAGGGGCAGGC